ACACGUCGAUAACGUUCCUUUAGGUCCGGAAUAAUCUCAGGAAACUGAGGAUAAGUCCGGAUAGAGCACAGGUACUGGAAUGUCCUAUGCUCUAAAGGCAACGCCUAAAGAUCGGUCGGCGGCGGAUUAGGUUGUUGGCGGUGUAAUGGACCACCAAGCCGAAGAUCCGUACGGGCCUUGAGAGAGGGUGCCCGGAGAGGGACACUGAGAUAUUGGUCCCAGCCCCACGGGGUGCAGCAGUCGGGAAAACUUCGCAAUGCACGAAAGUGUGACGAGGGAAUUCAGAGUGCUCAGGCAUUGCGCCUGGGCUUUUGUCAAGGGCAAAUACCUUGGCGAAUAAGUGGUGGGCAAGACCGGUGCCAGCCGCCGCGGUAACCCCGGCGCCACAAGUGGGAACCACUUUUAUUGGGUCUAAAGCAUCCGUAGCCGGUUCGGCAAAUGCCUUGUGAAAUGGUUGCGCUCAACGUAACCUCGUGCAAGGUAGACUACCGAACUAGGGACCAGAAGAUGUUAGCAGUAUUCCUGGGGGAACGGUAAAAUGUUAUAAUCCCAGGAGGACUACCGAUGGCGAAGGCAGCUAACAAGUAUGGAUCCGACGGUGAGGGAUGAAAGCUAGGGGAGCGAUCCGGAUUAGAUACCCGAGUAGUCCUAGCCGUAAACGCUGUAUGCCAGAUGUUGCACGAUCUUCGAGAUCGUG
rnacentral:rRNA from 1 species